rnacentral:rRNA from 1 species
GAUGAACGCUAGCUACAGGCUUAACACAUGCAAGUCGAGGGGAAACGACAUUGAAGCUUGCUUCGAUGGGCGUCGACCGGCGCACGGGUGAGUAACGCGUAUCCAACCUGCCUCUGACUAAGGGAUAACCCGGCGAAAGUCGGACUAAUACCUUAUGAGGUUUUCUGCAGACAUCUAAUGAAAACGAAAGAUUUAUCGGUCAGCGAUGGGGAUGCGUCUGAUUAGCUUGUUGGCGGGGUAACGGCCCACCAAGGCAACGAUCAGUAGGGGUUCUGAGAGGAAGGUCCCCCACAUUGGAACUGAGACACGGUCCAAACUCCUACGGGAGGCAGCAGUGAGGAAUAUUGGUCAAUGGGCGAGAGCCUGAACCAGCCAAGUAGCGUGCAGGAUGACGGCCCUAUGGGUUGUAAACUGCUUUUAUGUGGGGAUAAAGUGAGCUACGUGUAGUUUAUUGCAGGUACCACAUGAAUAAGGACCGGCUAAUUCCGUGCCAGCAGCCGCGGUAAUACGGAAGGUCCAGGCGUUAUCCGGAUUUAUUGGGUUUAAAGGGAGCGUAGGCCGUGGAUUAAGCGUGUUGUGAAAUGUAGACGCUCAACGUCUGAAUUGCAACGCGAACUGGUUCACUUGAGUAUGCACAACGUAGGCGGAAUUCGUCGUGUAGCGGUGAAAUGCUUAGAUAUGACGAAGAACUCCGAUUGCGAAGGCAGCUUACGGGAGCACAACUGACGCUGAAGCUCGAAGGUGCGGGUAUCAAACAGG